AAUAGGCGACUAUGGAUCUUAAGACAACUAGAAGCUUUAGGAAUGUGUGAGAAAACCAAAGUGAAAGUGACAAAAUAUCUUGGUCGAGGUAAAAAUGUAAUUGAAAGAGAAGUAAAGAUUCGCGGAAACCCCGGAGGGGUGAUAUAUACGUAUUAAUCCCAGAUUGAUCGUGAAAGUUUAGAGGACCUGCAAGAAGCUCUGUCAGGGAUGAAUUUAGACGAAAACCAAACGUAAAACAUGGGUGCUCUGUCAUGAGAUUAGGAAGACAAGAAGACAAUGUGAACAUAGAAAGACA